rnacentral:rRNA from 1 species
GAUGAACGCUGGCGGCGUGCCUAACACAUGCAAGUCGAACGGAAAGACGAGGAGAUUGUGCCCUUGACGUUAGCGGCGGGCGGGCGAGUAACGAGUGGAUAACCAACUUAUAUGUCGGGGAUGAUAACGGGAGACAGGAUCUGAUAAUGGAGAAUAUAUUGAACCGCAGGGUGCAAUGGAGAAUGACGGCUUUGGUGUUUGUAUUAGCCGGUUCCGGGCCGGAUUGGUUAGUUGGUAAGGUCACGGCACACCAAGGCGACGAUGCGUAGCCGGGCUGAGCGGGUGAUCGGCCACACUGGAACUGAGACACGGUCCAGACUCCUACGGGAGGCAGCAGUGGGGAAUAUUCGACAAUGGGCGCAAGCCUGACCCAGCAAUACCGCGUGGGUGAAGAAGGUCUUCGGGUCGUAAAGCCCUUUUAUUGGGGAAGAACAGCUGUAGAUUAAAACAUAGCCGUUCUGACGGUACCCAAUCAAUAAGCAACGGCUAACUACGUG